rnacentral:rRNA from 1 species
AAAACAUCGCCUCCUGCAACAUAACCAAGUAUAAGAGGUCCAGCCUGCCCAGUGACCACAAGUUCAACGGCCGCGGUAUUUUGACCGUGCAAAGGUAGCGCAAUCACUUGUCUUUUAAAUAGAGACCUGUAUGAAUGGUUAAACGAGGGCUUAACUGUCUCCCCUUUCAAGUCAGUAAAAUUGAUCUACCCGUGCAGAAGCGGGUAUGCACAUACAAGACGAGAAGACCCUUUGGAGCUUAAGGUAAAAACUAACCACGUCAAGCAACUCAAUAAAAAGCAAUCCCCUUUUUAAACCUUGCGGUAAAUGAGACCAUACCUUCGGUUGGGGCGACCACGGAGUAAAACAAAGCCUCCAAGUGGAACGGGGCAAUACCCUAAAACCAAGAGAGACAUCUCUAAGCCACAGAACAUCUGACCAUAAAUGAUCCGGCCAACCAAUGACCGAUCAACGAACCAAGUUACCCUAGGGAUAACAGCGCAAUCCUCUCCAAGAGUCCAUAUCGACGAGAGGGUUUACGACCUCGAUGUUGGAUCAGGACAUCCUAAUGGUGCAGCCGUUAUUAAGGGUUCGUUUGUUCAACGAUUAAAGUCCUACGUGA